rnacentral:lncRNA from 1 species
CAAGAAAUACAUACUUAGCUAAUUAUCCUCUAAAAUGACAUAAUUAGCUAAUUUAGUUCAUUUAUGACAUAAUUAGCUUAGUUAGGUAAAAAAGAUCACAAGAACCAUGGUUAGCUCAUAACUUAGCAUAUCUUCCUCCUAAAUAACAUAAUAAGCUCAAAAUAAGAAAAGUAUUGUAAUCAUCCUCUUCCUCUUCUUCUCCUUCUCC